rnacentral:lncRNA from 1 species
AAGAUAUCCUCAAAUUGAACCCCUAACUUAGUAAAAAUCAAGACCCAAAAAUUAAUCGAUUCCACCCAGUGCAAGGAAAAAAAUAUAUGAAUGUUUGAAACUUUCUCUUUUCUAAUCUCGAGAAUCAAAAUCGAAAAAAUUCAAUAUUUACGUCAAUAUUUUGACUCUUGACCAAAUGGCGUCAGAGUCAAAAUCGAAACAAGUUGACGAAGAGAG